rnacentral:rRNA from 1 species
UACGAAGGGAGCUAGCGUUGUUCGGAAUCACUGGGCGUAAAGCGCACGUAGGCGGAUUUGUCAGUCAGGGGUGAAAUCCCGGGGCUCAACCUCGGAACUGCCUUUGAUACAGCAAGUCUUGAGUUCGAGAGAGGUGGGUGGAAUUCCUAGUGUAGAGGUGAAAUUCGUAGAUAUCGGGAGGAAUACCAGUGGCGAAGGCGCUGACCUGGACGAAGAUUGACGCUGAGGUGCGAAAGCGUGGGGAGCAAACAGG